rnacentral:rRNA from 1 species
GGAAUCUUCCACAAUGGACGAAAGUCUGAUGGAGCAAAGCCGCGUGAGUGAAGAAGGUUUUCGGAUCGUAAAACUCUGUUGUUGGAGAAGAACACGUUUGAGAGUAACUGUUCAGACGUUGACGGUAUCCAACCAGAAAGCCACGGCUAACUACGUGCCAGCAGCCGCGGUAAUACGUAGGUGGCGAGCGUUGUUCGGAUUUAUUGGGCGUAAAGGGUCCGCAGGUGGUUGGAUAAGUUUGACGUGAAAUCCCAGAGCUCAACUCUGGAACUGCGUUGAAAACUGUCUGACUGGAGUAUCGGAGAGGAGAUUGGAAUUCCAGGUGUAGCGGUGGAAUGCGUAGAUAUCUGGAAGAACACCGAAAGCGAAGGCAGAUCUCUGGACGAUAACUGACUCUCAGGGACGAAAGUAUGGGGAUCAAACA